rnacentral:pre_miRNA from 1 species
UAUAAGGGGUUUUGAGUUUUUGCUUGUACUGUUUGACCACUCGUCUUAUUUAAAAAAAAUAUUGAAAUUAUUAUUUAUUAUUUUGACUUACUUUAUUAUCCAAAACACUUUAAGCACAACUUUUUGUUUUUUAUAUUUGUAAAAAAAAUUUAAAUAAGACGAGUGGUCAAAUAAUGCAAACAAAAACUCAAAAUCCCUUUUAUU